rnacentral:rRNA from 1 species
CCUUAUCAUUUAGAGGAAGGAGAAGUGGUAMCAAGGUUUCCGUAGGUGAACCUGCGGAAGGAUCAUUGU